rnacentral:rRNA from 1 species
AACGAACGCUGGCGGCAGGCUUAACACAUGCAAGUCGAACGCAUCCUUCGGGGUGAGUGGCAGACGGGUGAGUAACGCGUGGGAACGUGCCCUUCAGUUCGGGAUAACCCAGGGAAACUUGGGCUAAUACCGGAUACGUGCGAGAGCAGAAAGAUUUAUCGCUGAAGGAUCGGCCCGCGUCUGAUUAGCUAGUUGGUGGGGUAAUGGCCCACCAAGGCGACGAUCAGUAGCNGGUCUGAGAGGAUGAUCAGCCACAUUGGGACUGAGACACGGCCCAAACUCCUACGGGAGGCAGCAGUGGGGAAUAUUGGACAAUGGGCGCAAGCCUGAUCCAGCCAUGCCGCGUGAGUGAUGAAGGCCUUAGGGUUGUAAAGCUCUUUCGUCCGGGACGAUAAUGACGGUACCGGAAGAAGAAGCCCCGGCUAACUUCGUGCCAGCAGCCGCCGUAAC